rnacentral:rRNA from 1 species
GAUGAACGCUAGCGGCAGGCCUAAUACAUGCAAGUCGAACGGUGUCUUCGGACAUAGUGGCGCACGGGUGCGUAACACGUAUGCAACCUACCUUACAUUGGGGGAUAGCCUUUCGAAAGGGAGAUUAAUACCGCAUAAGACAGUAGCUGGGCAUCCAGCAGCUGUUAAAGAUUUAUCGAUGUAAGCUGGGCAUGCGUCCAAUUAGCUAGUUGGUGAGGUAACGGCUCACCAAGGCAAUGAUUGGUAGGGGAACUGAGAGGUCAAUCCCCCACACUGGCACUGAGAUACGGGCCAGACUCCUACGGGAGGCAGCAGUAGGGAAUAUUGGGCAAUGGACGCAAGCCUGAUCCAGCCAUGCCGCGUGUGUGAAGAAGGCCUUCGGGUUGUAAAGCACUUUCAGUAGGGAGGAAGCGUUGUGUGUUAAUAGUACACAGCGUUGACGUUACCUACAGAAGAAGCACCGGCUAACUCUGUGCCAGCAGCCGCCGUAACAC